rnacentral:lncRNA from 1 species
CAGGGACCAAUGCAAACCCUUACUUUCCUCUAAAGAGUAAGUAGGAGGAAGCAAAAUCAGCUUGCUCGGGAGACAGGAGCUGACUUCAGAAUAUUAUUAAAAGACGUGGGAACAUCCACAUGGUGAGGGAGGAAAUUGAAAAUGUCUGGGUUGGUUGGGGCCUCGAGUUAGUUGUUGAAAAUGAAAGGAUGUGAAGAGUGAUGAGCCCACGCCGACCGAGCGACAGGCUCGCCGCCCACGCCGCCCGACAGGCUCGCCGCUUAAUCAGAAGAACUCAGCAAAUUAAUAGUUACAUGUCUGAAUGGAAACAAGACAACUCCCAUCUCAGGCCUGGCCCAGGAGGAAGUGGAGCAAGAUGCCUCUUAAGGAAGCCAGCCCAGGAGUCCUGAAGAUGCUAUGCCAGAAACAUUGACAAA